rnacentral:rRNA from 1 species
CGCUGGCGGCAGGCCUAACACAUGCAAGUCGAACGGAUCCUUUCGGGAUUAGUGGCGGACGGGUGAGUAACACGUGGGAACGUGCCCUUUGGUUCGGAACAACUCAGGGAAACUUGAGCUAAUACCGGAUAAGCCUUUCGAGGGAAAGAUUUAUCGCCAUUGGAGCGGCCCGCGUAGGAUUAGCUAGUUGGUGGGGUAAAGGCCCACCAAGGCUACAAUCCUUAGCUGGUCUGAGAGGAUGAUCAGCCACAUUGGGACUGAGACACGGCCCAAACUCCUACGGGAGGCAGCAGUGGGGAAUCUUGCGCAAUGGGCGAAAGCCUGACGCAGCCAUGCCGCGUGAAUGAUGAAGGUCUUAGGAUUGUAAAAUUCUUUCACCGGGGACGAUAAUGACGGUACCCGGAGAGGAAGCCCCGGCUAACUUCGUGCCAGCAGCCGCGGUAAUACGAAGGGGGCUAGCGUUGCUCGGAAUUACUGGGCGUAAAGGGAGCGUAGGCGGAUAGUUUAGUCAGAGGUGAAAGCCCAGGGCUCAACCUUGGAAUUGCCUUUGAUACUGGCUAUCUUGAGUACGGAAGAGGUAUGUGGAACUCCGAGUGUAGAGGUGAAAUUCGUAGAUAUUCGGAAGAACACCAGUGGCGAAGGCGACAUACUGGUCCGUUACUGACGCUGAGGCUCGAAAGCGUGGGGAGCAAACAGGAUUAGAUACCCUGGUAGUCCACGCUGUAAACGAUGAGUGCUAGUUGUCGGCAGGCAUGCCUGUCGGUUUUUCAGCUCACGCAAAAACCACUCCGCCCGGGGAGCAGGGUC